rnacentral:rRNA from 1 species
AACGCGAAGAACCUUACCUACCCUUGACAUCCAGAGAAUCUUGUAGAGAUACGAGAGUGCCGAAAGGAACUCUGAGACAGGUGCUGCAUGGCUGUCGUCAGCUCGUGUUGUGAGAUGUUGGGUUAAGUCCCGUAACGAGCGCAACCCUUAUCCUUAGUUACCAUCAUUUAGUUGGGGACUCUAAGGAGACUGCUGGUGAUGAACCGGAGGAAGGCGGGGACGACGUCAAGUCAUCAUGGCCUUUAUGGGUAGGGCUACACACGUGCUACAAUGGACAGUACAGAGGGUUGCCAACCCGCGAGGGGGAGCCAAUCCCGAAAAGCUGUUCGUAGUCCGGAUCGGAGUCUGCAACUCGACUCCGUGAAGUCGGAAUCGCUAGUAAUCGCGAAUCAGAAUGUCGCGGUGAAUACGUUCCCGGGCCUUGUACACACCGAGACGUA